UAUGGAAGGCAGCAGUGGGGAAUAUUGGACAAUGGGCGAAAGCCUGAUCCAGCCAUGCCGCGUGUGUGAAGAAGGUCUUCGGAUUGUAAAGCACUUUAAGUUGGGAGGAAGGGCAGUAAAUUAAUACUUUGCUGUUUUUGACGUUACCGACAGAAUAAGCACCGGCUAACUCUGUGCCAGCAGCCGCGGUAAUACAGAGGGUGCAAGCGUUAAUCGGAAUUACUGGGCGUAAAGCGCGCGUAGGUGGUUCGUUAAGUUGGAUGUGAAAUCCCCGGGCUCAACCUGGGAACUGCAUUCAAACUGACGGGCUAGAGUAUGGUAGAGGGUGGUGGAAUUUUCCUGUGUAGCGGUGAAAUGCGUAGAUAUAGGAAGGAACACCAGUGGCGAAGGCGACCACCUGGGACUGAUACUGACACUGAGGUGCGAAAGCGUGGGGAGCAAACAGGAUUAGGAUACC
rnacentral:rRNA from 1 species